rnacentral:rRNA from 1 species
AUUGAACGCUGGCGGCAUGCCUUACACAUGCAAGUCGAACGGUAACAGGUCUUCGGAUGCUGACGAGUGGCGAACGGGUGAGUAAUACAUCGGAACGUGCCCGAGAGUGGGGGAUAACGAGGCGAAAGCUUUGCUAAUACCGCAUACGAUCUCAGGAUGAAAGCAGGGGACCGCAAGGCCUUGCGCUCACGGAGCGGCCGAGGGCAGAUUAGGUAGGUGGUGGGAUAAAAGCUUACCAAGCCGACGAUCUGUAGCUGGUCUGAGAGGACGACCAGCCAUACUGGGACUGAGACACGGCCCAGACUCCUACGGGAGGCAGCAGUGGGGAAUUUUGGACAAUGGGCGCAAGCCUGAUCCAGCCAUGCCGCGUGCAGGAUGAAGGCCUUCGGGUUGUAAACUGCUUUUGUACGGAACGAAAAGACUCUGGUUAAUACCUGGGGUCCAUGACGGUACCGUAAGAAUAAGCACCGGCUAACUACGUGCCAGCAGCCGCGGUAACAC